UCCUCCUGGCAAUAGGCAAAGAGGCAGCUUAUUGGUGGUGGUGUUCUUACAUCAGCCAGGGGCAGAGCAGAUGGCUGUCCUUUGUUCAGCAGCUUGAUGCCUGGCUUGGUGGCCAAAGCUGUAUUAUGCCUAGGGCUCAUAA